UACGUAGGGUGCAAGCGUUAAUCGGAAUUACUGGGCGUAAAGCGUGCGCAGGCGGUUAUGUAAAGACAGGUGUGAAAUCCCCGGGCUUAACCUGGGAACUGCAUUUGUGACUGCAUAGCUAGAGUACGGUAGAGGGGGAUGGAAUUCCGCGUGUAGCAGUGAAAUGCGUAGAUAUGCGGAGGAACACCGAUGGCGAAGGCAAUCCCCUGGGCCUGCACUGACGCUCAUGCACGAAAGCGUGGGGAGCAAACAGGAUUAGAACCGUCCGAGUCAGACCAAGAUCCAG
rnacentral:rRNA from 1 species